rnacentral:lncRNA from 10 species
CCGCUCUCCUGCCUGCAGGCCCGGCUGGGAGGCUCAGCUGGCCCCGGGGACCGCCUGCCGGGUCUGCCCGCUCUCCUGCCUGCAGGGCCCGCCAGCCUGAGCUGCUCGCUGUCCUGCCUGCAGGGCCCGCCUGCCGGGGUUGCCCUCUAAGCUGCCUACAGGGCCGGCCUGCCGGGGCUGCCCGCUGUACGUCCUUCAGGCCCAGCUGGGAGGCUCAGCUGGCACUGGGGCCUGCAUGCCGGGCCUGUCUGCUGUCUGGUCUUCGUUUUUGGUUCUCUUCAUUUGGUUUAUAAAUUUGAGUUAAUAUUUGGAGCCAUUUUCUCAACCCAAUACAGCUUUGCUCCCAUGACCUCCUUCGUACUCUUAUUGGUGAACACAUUACAUUUAUAUAUGGUACAGGAAGAAGAAUGCAUUGUAUAUAUGCAGUUUUAUACAACUGCUUUCUACAUCGGUUAAGAGAAGAAAAUAGAAGAAUGUGCACUUAUACUGCCUUUUGUAGUUUCAUAUUUACCUUUUAUGGUGCCCUAUGUUUUUUGUGUGUGAUUUUGAUUUACUGUCUGGGAUCACUUGCUUCCAGCCUGAUGAAUUUCUCUUUUGAUUUCUUAUGAGGCAGAUAUUCCAGCGACAUAUUCUUUCAGUUUUGUUAAUCUGGGUCAACAAGAGGAGCUUAGUACUCCACACAAUGACUUAGGAACCUGUGCUGGUGGUGGCACUGGCAUCUUACAGCUGCUCCAUCUGGAGAAGGUUCCAGGUGAUUCCAGCUCUUCAUAUAGCUGCUGCCUCACAGAAUUAGGAUGAGUAGUGGGAAGAACUGAGUGUGGGAAUGAAGCAGAUGGGACAGAGUCCAAGAACCCAAAAGCAAGGAGGAAGAGACAGUACCGGGGCAUGAAUAGCCUUGGAGGGUUCCUGACGCCAGCCUGCAGUUCCUGGAGCUCCAGCACCUCAUCCACAACAUUUGCGAAUGGACAAGGCAGGAGUGAGGAAGAAAGGUUUCAUCUUCAGAGAAGAGGUAUCAGUAGUGUAGGGGUGAAGGUGAUGGAAGAAACGGUUGUGGAACAAAAGGAAUAGAAAGCUCCCGGCAAGGAUGGAGGCAGCACUGUUUGUUGGACAACUGAAUUGGCCCAGGUGGCCCCUGCACUCUCAGGUACCUGAGACUCCACCCGCCUUGCCUUACUGUCCACAUUUACUCAUGGUGACAACCCCCGCCCCCAAAUUUCAUUUGAAUGACAUGCGCAGGUGCAUUUGCACUGAGAUCUUUAUUCUAGGCCUGGGGCCUUGGAGCAGUGGGCAAUUGCAACACAGGACAGAGAAGAGAGUAUUGUUUGUGUCCCUGUGAUCAGACACAUGCACACACUACACACACACACACACACACACACACACACACACACACAAGGACACGGGCACAGACAUGGGUAGUAAUGAGACCUAUUAAGUAUUUUCCCCUCCAGUAGGCAGAUGUGCAUGAUACAUAAAUUACAAAUAAGAGGAACCUUGUGAACACAUUUCAAAGGCAAGAUGAGUGAAUAUCGGUGACUUGUGGUUUUCAUGUAUUUUAUAAUUCAGUUCUUGGUAUAAAAUAUAUUUUAUAUUCCAACCUCGUAUACACCUAUACACUCUUGAAAAAUCGAAAGAAGAGUUUCACUGAAGAAAACUUAAUUUCACAAGGUGUGAUACUCUCUGAUGUUUUAUUUUACAUCAUAUACUAGUUCAAUUAAAAAAUAAAUUCAUUAAGCUCAUCAGAAUUGACUGUGCCUGCAAUUUCAAAAAUG